rnacentral:tRNA from 2 species
UAGCUUAGUUGAUGAAGCGUGAGACUCUUAAUCUCAGGGUAGUGGGUUCAAGCCCCAC